GACGAACGCUGGCGGCGUGCUUAACACAUGCAAGUGGAGCGACGAACCAGGGCUUGCCCUGGGGCAAAGCCGCGAACGGGUGAGUAACACGUGGGUAACCUGCCCCGAUGACCGGGACAACCCGAGGAAACUCGGGCUAAUACCGGAUGUGCUCGCGAGCCGCAAGGCUCGCGCGGAAAGGAAGCUUCGGCCUCCGCAUCGGGAUGGGCCCGCGGCCCAUUAGCUUGUUGGUGGGGUAACGGCCCACCAAGGCCGCGAUGGGUAGCUGGUCUGGGAGGACGAUCAGCCACACUGGGACUGAGACACGGCCCAGACUCCUACGGGAGGCAGCAGUGGGGAAUCUUGCGCAAUGCGCGAAAGCGUGACGCAGCAACGCCGCGUGGGGGAAGACGGCCUUCGGGUUGUAAACCCCUUUCAGUUGGAACGAAGCUUCGCCCGUUAAUAGCGGGCCGGAGUGACGGUACCUUCAGAAGAAGCCCCGGCUAACUACGUGCCAGCCGCCGCGGUAACAC
rnacentral:rRNA from 1 species